UCUAAAUGAUCAGACCAAAAACAUGCAAGGAAAACUGAUUAGGGUGAAAUUAUUUUUUAUUUUACUAGGCAAGUCAGUUAAGAACAAAUUCUUAUUUUCAAUGACAGCCUAGGAACAGUGGGUUAACUGCCUGCUCAGGGAAAGAACGACAGAUUUGUACCUUGUCAGCUCAGUGAUUUGAACUUGCAACCUUUGGGUUUCUAGUCCAACGCUCUAACCACUAGGCUACCCUGCCGCCCCACAAGAAAAUGGCUGGAGAAAUACAGCUUCACUCUAUCUAAUCAGAGCAGCAGGAUCAACGUACAACCCGCCCUUAUCUUUACAGACAACCAGCUAAAUUAUAUGGAAAAUUGCCCAUCUCAGUGGUGAUACUCAUUUCGUCCGACUACUCGGCAAAAUCCUAGUAUAUGCCACUGUACUCAAAAUUUGACCUUUUCUACACUGAUAUAUUGAGAAGAUUGAAAUACUGCUAGUUUUACAGAAAACUGCCCUAGCAGUAGCCACCACAGCCAUUUAGAAUGGCAGUGUCAGCCAAUCAGCUCCUUUGUUGUUCAACUCUACGUGCCAUUCUGGUAGCUAUCAUGAGGACGAAAAGGGAAGGUAUUUGGAGUACAGUGGCAUAUCCCAUCCCUGCAUUGUGCUGUAUACUUUUUCACUUUCCUCUGGGCAUCAAAAAACAUAGGCUGAUUGUCUUUCAAUAGUCAUCUUCCAAAGAAAUUCACACACCAUUAUGGUUCGACCAAA
rnacentral:lncRNA from 1 species